rnacentral:rRNA from 1 species
CAGUCGCCGCGGGAAUACGUAGGUCCCGAGCGUUGUCCGGAUUUAUUGGGCGUAAAGCGAGCGCAGGCGGUUUCUUAAGUCUGAUGUGAAAGCCCCCGGCUCAACCGGGGAGGGUCAUUGGAAACUGGGAAACUUGAGUGCAAAAGAGGAGAGCGGAAUUCCACGUGUAGCGGCGAAAUGCGUAGAGAUGUGGAGGAACACCAGUGGCGAAGGCGACUCUCUGGUCUGUAACUGACGCUGAGGAGCGAAAGCGUGGGGAGCGAACAGGAUUAGAUACCCCCGUAGUCCCUGUCUCUUAUCA